rnacentral:tmRNA from 1 species
CUGCACGCAGCGCUUGUGUUCAAGGGUCACUGUCCCCAUAAUGGCAGGCAUGGUUGUAAUUCCGGCAACCCGGAAGCGUUCUGGACGCGGGUUCGAUUCCCGCCACCUCCACCACUGCGGGGGUGUACUGGUUUCGACAGGGUGACAGAGCGCGCAAGAAAGCGGCCGAGACGAUGGCUUCUAUCGACGUGGUCA